UCUUCAGCAGUGUUCGAAUAAUCUUGAAUGAGACUGUACAUGCUAGUUAUUGCCCCCCCCCCCUUUAUUAUUCCAGUGUGCUGGUAUUGGCAUCACUUUUUCUAUGAGCUCAGCCACAGCCUCCCUGGAUCAGACGAUCCAUUCUUCUAUCUUGCAGGUGCACAUCUUUACCUCUGUACCAUAGAAGUAAAGAUGUAAACAGGGAAGUAAAACGAGACCUGCUGCAUACAAAAUAGUUUGUUUUAACGUUUUCUUUUCGCUGUCUUAAGAACUUAAUUUGUUUUAAAUAAAUCAUGAAUUACUCACCUUUAAAAUAGUAGGCAAAAUAGGUUUUGGCUCCCAAGUUUUCCCCAGUUUUCGAUCCUGGUCCAUCAGGCAGCGUCCCAUCUUCCUCAGGGAAAACAGUAGAACAAAGCUUGCCACUGAGCAAUAGAGGAAUGUCACUUACAGUAUAUUUAAAGACUAGGUUGUGGCAUGCUGACAAUAUAGUAUCUAGAUUUUUUUUUAAAUAACUAUUUAUUCUUACAUAAAAAGUAAGUAAGUUUUACAUGCUCAUUAUUUUGUGGAUGGGAUAAAGGCUCUUCAUUCGCAGGUAUGGAACUAGAAGACACAGGCAGCAGUCACCUAAGACGUGUUGUCCGACAAGAACCUUUCUACGUUGGCGGCGUCCCUGCCCGGAGACCAGGUUCGGGGGCCGUAGUCCGCUGCAGAAGAUGCCGUCGUCCGCUUAUCCGGAGAGGGUGAAGCUGCAGUUAAGUGUCUCAAGAUGGCGACGCUGAUAUUGGAUUUUGUCUGUUAUCAUGCAUAAGAAAGCAAACUUAUCGCUCCUAAUGUUACAAACAGUUGAAACUUAUGUUUCCUAUUUGCAAGGAAUUUAAGAAAUUAUUCAUUUGCUUUCUUUUAUUUAGUCAAAAACCCUGAAGAUCUCAUUGAAAAGUAUACUCAUCUUGGGACACUGCCAUUAGGUGGGUUAUGAUUUUGUAGAUAGAGAAAACUAAACAAAAUAAAAAAAUCACCUAUAAAUUAAAAUAAAAUGUUGUCGCCUCUUUUAAAAUACUUAACAAUAAUGAUAAGAAUAGCUGUGGGGAAAACUAAUGAAAUAAAACAACUGGUGUUAGCCAUAUCCUGUAUUACCACAUACUGUGUGUGUGUGCCUCUGAAGAUGUCUUGAAUAAAGACGAAAGCUAAGGUG